AGCUGCACCUUGCCCCGUCCUAUGCGAGGUUUUGAUUGUGGCGUUGUGUUCUUAUUUUUUUAUUUUCUUCGGCCACACAUCGGCUCUCUCUCUCUCUCUACACACACAGACACACUGUCGCGGACUGGCUAUUUAGAGAGCUGCGUCUGUGCUUGUUUUCUUCGUUGAAGGGGGGGGGGCAUCGAGAACCGACUUGACUAGGUGGCUGCGGUGGUGUGCUGCCUUGCUUCGCUUUUCCAGUAGCCCGUGACACCCACAAGAGCCAUCACUUGUAGAUAUAUACACACACACACAGUCACAGGCAACCGCACUCAGAAACUGAACUACAGGGUCACCCAACACGGCAGAGAACAAUUCACUGUAAGAGAGAGUGGUGGUGCUGGUGUUGGUCUUGGUGGUGAAGUACUCAGAGGUCUGCGCGGAGACCGUGGCCAGCCGCUCGCACCUUUUUUUUUCGUUGCUUUCUUUUAGAUUGUAAAGACACGCACACACAUACGCAUACACACAUAUGUACAUGGAAACACACCGUUCAACCCACCCAUACCCCCUCCCCAAUUCGCGCAUAACCACACGCACACCCGCACCCAGAAAAACGCCGCCUCCUAUCUGUCGAGUAGAAAGGGUAGCCUUUGGACCUGAGGUGUGAUUGUGUGCGGCUCUUCCUCUGUCCGGCCACCAUCAUCACGGGCAUGUGCCUGUCCUUUUCCUGCCAAACGAAAGUCCCCCUCCCUCCCCCAAAACCGGCGACUGGUUGACGGCUGCAUUGAAGAGCGUGCGAGCGUCGCGCGUUUUUGCACCAAGGCAACGUGCGUCACGGAGGCGAAGGCGGGCAGAGGAGGGGAACCGCAGCUGCAACCGCGCACCAGCAUGGACGCGUCGGCGACACCGCCCACAGUGAGCAGCGUCGCGAAAGCUUCGACUGCAUCGGCCAACACAGCCACGAGCCCGCUUCCGUCGAGUGACAGCGAGGAUGACAACAAAGCACUAAACUCGGCUGCACUGUCGACCGGCUCCGCGUUGCCGAGCAGCUCUAUCGCCAGCAGCAGCUUCUCCAUGUUCUCGCAGAGCACGACGGCGCGGCGGGGCGAGGAGGGAAGAAAGGAAGAGGGCGUAGGGAGAGGCAGUGCAGCAUCGCUGGUGCCGACCCUGACGAAGCGGUCACGUGUGUUGUCGUCGUCGGCUGCUGCGACACGCACGAGCAGCCCCGCUGAGUUCACAGCACCAUUUGCGCGUCCGGCUCCCACGCGGGCUAAGGGACCUCUACCCCUUCUUUCCACUGCCGCACUAAUCGACUUGGCUGCAGUGCCGGCUUCUGCUGCUGACCCUCUCGAUGGUGCCAUAAGCACCGACGCGCCAAUGCACGGGCACCCGUUGUCCCCUUCGCCCACCGCUUCGCCGUCGUCUAAACCCUUCCUGGUGGCUCCAGAGGAGGUGCCGACGCCUUCGGUUGGCGAUGCCGCUGAGGAGGGCUCUGCGCCUCCCGCCGCGCCAGCAACACUACCGGCAAAUGCAGCCGCAGCAGCAGAUGAGAAGGCCGUCGAUGCUGGCGCUGCGAAGUGCGUCACGGAAGACCACGAGAGUGAAGGUAGUGGUGCCAGCACAUCACACUCUCUGCGCUGUGACAACGGCGUCCCUAUCGACGGACGGGAGGAGACGUCACCAAACGUUGAACAGCCUCCUGCACUCCCGAGCAAGUGUUUGCCCGCGAUAUCGACGGAGCCGCCGCCGCUGCCUCCAUCGCAUGCUUCUUCAGAUUCAGAUGUGAAGCGUAGCGAAGACCAUUCAAGUGCGCCCGGCGGCUCUCCUCAUGCGUCGCCCUCUGCCCCGGCACCCUUCCUUCUCGAGUCGCCGGAGGAACCGCCAAGUCUGUUGCACAUCGCCCCGGAGGAGCAGCUUCGCCACAGUGGGCGCCUGAGUGGUACGCAUGACAGCGGCAACGACAAGAUCGAGGAGGCGGCGACUUCGAGGGAUGAGGGUGGUGGCUGUGGCAUCCAACGCCGUCCACAGCGCAGCUCUGCUCACCGCAGCGGAGAGGCUGCCGAGAGGGGCGAGGCGCAAGGCGAUGCACGCGAGGGCUCUGGGAGAUGCGGGCAACUGCGCGGUAGCGGAUGUCGUCGACGCACCCGAGAGCUGGACACGGAGGCCUCCCACACGUCCCCGCUGCACGCAUCCGGGAGCCGAUCGCAUCAAGAGCGUUCCCCUGUGUGCAGCCCGUUUCCGUCCUCCGCCGCCGCACUAGACGCGGGGCUGACCUCCAUGGUGGGUGCUGCUGCCAAUGACGCACCCCAGCAGCCAGUGGCACACCAGCACUCCAGCUCUUCUUUCUCCGCGUUUACUCACGCUCAUGCGUCCAACAUGAAAGCAAGCACAGCAGCACCUUCACUCUUCGCGGCCGAUGCACUGGCCAGCACCCACACUAUGGCGGUCUCCUCUACGCAGUCGAGCCUGUUGCCAACCAAGCGCCGUCGCAGCUCAAGGGAGCCACCGUCGAGUAGCUGGCCGGAUGCGGUCUUCCAGGUCGGCGAGGACGAGGGCGAUGAGGUCGCUGCCCCUGAAGGCGAGGCGCUUCAGUCAUCCACGCAGAUGCAAGGGCAGCAGAGGCAGGAAGAGCGUGCAUGUACUGAGGACGGUAUGGUUGGCAAGGCAACAGUCGUCGCCAUUACUGCCGAAGGGAUGCCAGCGCCACCAUCAUUGCCGCUUGCGACGCACGCGCGUGAGGCCACGGCUGUCGCCGUUGCACCGCCGCCUCUGCGCCCCAAGGAACACGACGGAGACAAGCGCGCAGAGGCGCUUGCGUCCGCGUCUGCUUCAACUUUGCUGCCAGCCCCAGCCGUUGCGAUGGCUAGGGGUGCUGUGUCUCUCAACGCAGGGGCGUCAACCACGGCAGCGCCGGCGUUGUCGCCAGCAGUGCUACCCGCUCCUGCGCACCCCUCCCCUCUUGGUUCAUCACCUUCUGCACCAGCAGCGUCGCCUCCACCGCCACGGCCCACGACACACCACCAGCCGCCGCCGCCGCCGCCGUCCUCCGCAGUAGCCGCACUGGCACCCUCGUCCGCCUUGGAAAAGGAAGCGGCGGCUGCCCGUGGGAAUCAUGAUGCCGGCCGUGCCGUGGCCACAUCUGCCUCUGCAGCUUCCGUAGAGCCAGAUGCUGUACCUACCGCGCUGCACCCCGUGCCCAUCUCACCAGCACUUCCUGUGCCUGCCGCGACCGCUACGGCAGCCGCCGGCUUAAUUGGAGAGCCGCACAGGGAAGCGUAUCCCGCACCUCUUCUGCGCAUUAACCCGCCCAUCUCUCUGAACGGGGCCGUCGGCGGCAGCGGGUCUGUCGAGACCGCAGGUAGCUUCGCGACGUUAAAGAGUACCGUGGCGGGACACAACCGCCUCUCGUUGGGUAGCGUGCGCAGCAAUGCGAUGCUGGGGCAGACGCCGUUGUCCAUGGCGCAGUUUGCGGAUCGCUGGACAUCGUCAGAAGAGGGGAGUCGACACGGCAGCGACGCGGACAACCGCAGCAGCCGCCGCAGCAGCCGCAGCCACCGCAGCGAUGAAGAGCGAGAGGGCAGGGGAUCGUGGCAAUCGCACAGUGCCGCAAACCACUGCCAUGGGCACGACAGCAGCGGUAGCUGGUACUCUUACACCUACGGCUCCUCGUACAGCACUGUGAGCAUUACCGGCAGCACGACGCGGAGCCUCCGCUCUUCCGUCGCCGUUAGCGCGCCGUCUCUGCAGGAUGAACGAGAGGGGGCAGUAACCGGAGGCACGGCAGCAGCUUUGGGCACGAGGAUGGUCAAGCUAGUCGAAUACGAGGAGGUCACCCCCGUUGUCCGUGGCAAAGGCGGCGUGCCGGGCUGGCUGUGCUGCGGCCGCAAGAAAGCCACGGGCGGAGUGCGUACGAGCCGCAUGGAAGUGCACCGCGUGUGCUUCCCAGCGGAAAACACGCACCGAGACCAUUCCAUAGGCCUUUCUGCUCUGCAUGCAGGGCGGCACAAGGACCUGCCAAGGCGCGAAGGCAGUACGGCGUCGCCGGUGGCGACAGCUGGGGCUGUGCGAGCGAACAUUACGGCUCGCAGCGAGGACAGGGCGGAGAGGCGGGCGGGGCUCGGCGGAAUGAGAAGCGGCGGCGCCGCUGGCAGCGAAGGCAGCGGGCCUCCGCGGGGACUCGGGAGCGCGACGGAGACACCACACAGCAGUGAAAAGGACACUGCUGAAAGCGUCGACGAAGGCGUGGGCGAGGCUGCAGCAUAUGCCGGUUGUAGAGGCAGCACCAGCAGCUACGCCGACGGUGAAGCGCCACUCAUUAGCCGGGCCGAUACGUUAGCUCCGCUUCACGACGGAGCUGAAGAGACGGACGAGGGUGACAGCGGCCUUCGCAGUCAGGGCGAAGAAGCUGAGACGGCUGCUGCUACUGCCGCUGCAGCUGAGCAGAACAGAACACCUCCACUUGACGUAGUAGGCCAGGCUGCCUUCAGCAGCUCCGCGUCGGCGCCGCGUGCGAAGCUGGAUGUGGCGGUGAGCGUGAACACCAAAGCGUCUUCUUCGGCGCACUGGUGGGCUGAAGCCGACGGUGCCAACUACUCCGGCGGCGUGGGAGUACUGGGAAGCGAUGGCAGUGUGCCGGGGGGCGACGGGUCAGCUCCCUCUGCUGUCGCAGACGCCGCUGAGGCUCCCGACCACCACAAUCGCGCUGGUGUUCGUACCGGAGGAGGAGGAGGAGGCGGAGUGGAGGAGGAGGAGGAAGGCGCGGCAACCACUGCCUCCACUGCACCUCAUCCGCUGUGGACACUCUUGGUGUCCCCAGAGGAGCUGCCUCGGCUGCGCGCGUGGGACGCGGAGCCGCCUGUUGCCGCGAGCACCGGUCGUUUGCACCAGAAGCGGGAGGCGGAGCGACUCGAGGCCAAGUACAACGAGGAGGCGAUCGCAGCUGCGGAGGAGGCACAGCAGGCUUUCCGCCAGGCGGUGCGGGAGCUGAUGGUGCGUCCACCUCGACAGUGUGUUUUUGUUUCGGUGCACGGGCUGCGGCACUGGUGCUCAGCGCUGCACUGCCCGCGGCAGGCGCCCAGGGCGGGUUUGGCAAACAGUGCAGCGGCCGCACUUGCAGGGGGGUGGCGCGAUGCAUGGGGCGGCAACGCGCAAGCAGGCCCUCCGAUCAUAGAAGACCCGAAGUGGAUGGACGUGCGGCUCGCUAUAUACAUGCACGGCAGCGCUGGCGAGCGUCUGCUGGCGGCUGGCUCUGUCUUCUCUCUGCCAUCAAACCUGGAGGCGCUGCGGCGCUGCCUGGGAUGCGGUGGCGGUGGCGGUGGCGGCGGCAUUGUCGAGCACCCUUCCACAGGCGGCUACGGUCGCGACAGCUGGUCCGACCUGCUUGUGUUUCAGCUUCCGGAGAGCGCGUCUGAGGGCGCUGCGGAAGACAUGCAGCAGGCAGAGUCGCGUGAUCACGACAACAUCGUGUCCAUCACAGCAGAAGGCACAACAGGACACUGCAGCGACCGCGGUGACGGCGGUGGCGACGCGCCAAGCCAUCGAGCCUCGAAAUGUGGCCUGGCAGGCAGCGGCCAUCUUGGUUCUCUUGACGGUUGUGGAAUCCUGUACGUGAAGCUUGAGGAGCGGGGCGAGCGCUGGGUAUCUCUGGGUGAUGCGUGCGCCGGUGCUGCGGCGACGCGGGCAGGAGAGGCGGCGUCUUGUGGUACGCGCGCACACUCACCUGUCAAGGAUGCGCAGCCGGCUGCUGCAGUCGCCGCCGCCGUCGGGGGUGGGGCCGAGGGCCUCGUGACGUCGUCUCAACAGGAUGAGGAGGAGACGCCCCAGUCGAGCGUGGGACGGCGAACGGAGCCGUCGUCGCCGUCGUUGUCCUUACCACUCGCAGGGGAAGCGGCGCCGCCCUCUUCCUCCGCUAGCGAGACCACAGCGGGUCGUGACGAUACGCGCCAUGCCAUUGGGGCCACGUCAGACGUGGACAGCUUGCACGCUCGCGCAUCGGCCGACGGUGGCACCGACGAGCGUGCACAGGUGACAGGGACGCGGCUUGAGGAGUACUGGGGGCCCUUGGCAGUCUCACCGCCACUUUUACCGGCAGACUUGUGCAAGCUCCAGUCGGAUCAACCACCGCUGCUCACCGCGCUCGGGACCACAGCAGAGGCAGCAGCGAGCGCUGUCGCAUGCCCUGGGCAGCUCUUGCCACAGCUAUCCUGCCGCCUGCGCUGGGCGCAGGAGCCGCAGCCCGGAUCUAGAGCUGCGCCGGAGCCCGCCCCACGAGUAGCAUCUGUGGAGCAGGGUCUGUCAGCCUGGGCAUCGUUGGGGACUGCCAUCAAGGAGUAUGAGCGCGUGUGCCGCUGUGCUUCCACCGGUGCCGUGUCGGCCGUCACAGCCGCGAACCACAAGCCGUUUUGGCCACUGACAGUGCUGUGGAACACAAUCCCGCCGCACCUGGCCGCAGAAAAUGACAAGCUGCGAGAGGUGCGGAAGGCGAGUGUCGCCGCUUCUCCUCUGCAGCGCUGGUGCGGCGGGGAGUUGGCGCCGAGAGGGCACGCGAUGGAGACACUGAUGGUGUGCUCUGUGGUGAUGCGGUGUGCCGCUGCGAUCCUCUUCGCCCACGAGUUGGCCGAUGUGCCAGAGAACCGCUAUUGCCCACCAACGUCGAUUUCGGUCACUGGUGGCUGCGAUGGUGUGGUAGUCGAGGGGGCCGCUGCUGUAGGAGCUGGCGACGCGCACGGCACACCUGUCGCGCAUCGCGCCCCUGUCAUGCAGUACAACGUUAGCUUUCACGCCGUCCUCACGCGUGACACAGCUUCGUCGCUUCUAUUCACAGUGCACAGCGCUGCAUCGCCAGCGGACGUGUUUGGCUUUGCUGUGUGGACCCCGUUCGACGCCGCCUCUGCGGCGCAUGUGCAGAGCCACCACCGCCAUGAAGACGCCGGCGUCGGCGGCGUGGCGGAUGUGUGGCUUCCCCUUUUCGCUCCUGGCAGUGCUGAUGCCACACCACUGACGUCGGUACCGGCGCAGCAGCGGAAGGUUGCGUCGUCCAGCAUCUCUUCUGCAACGCUAUCAAGCACCAACAAGGACCAGAACCGUAGCACGACCGGCCUACUGCUCGUUGGCUGGCUUCACUGCGACGUGGAAGCCGUGUUCUUGCCGUCGCUGACCGAGGCGGCGGUGCAGCAGCUGUGGAACGGGCCGCAGCGUAGCCUCUCCUCCCUCGCCGCGGCGGCCGGAGGAGAGUCAGGGCACGACGGAUGCUGCAUAGGACAUGGCAUCAGCGUUGAGGACGACACCUUGGUGGACUUCAGCGUGAUGGAGGGAGCUGGCCUGCGGCCCUUGGCCACGCCGUUCGGCAUGCCACUCUCGCCUACACCGCUGCGCUGGGACGACUCUGCGACCUGGGGGAACAAUGGCACUUGUGCGCACGUGUACUGCGAGGUACUGGCUUUGCAGCGGCAGCGACAGCAGGGGACCGGCCACCAAGUCCCACGGUGGUCGCCCCACGCGGCUGGCGUCUUCGCCCCCGCAUCGUCGUCAUCGGCGGCUCCCGCCGUCAUGUACAGGGCCCACAGCUCCGGCUAUCGCCUCAGAGCCGCAGCGCGCACUGACUGCGAUCUCAUGAGCUUCGCUUCAGAGUCGGAUGGGCAGGGCCGGACCGCGCGCUGCGCUCCGCUGAGUGACAGUAGAGAGGAGGUUGAAGUGCGAAGUGCCUACGAUGCCAGGACUUGGACCAGCGCUGCAGGCGCGGAGCCCAACGCGGUGCUGCCCGUCACGGACUCUGUUGCACACACAAAUCAUCCUCGCUGGCAGCACACGUUUCGUUGCGGCCUCGCAUUGCUGUCGAGUCUUCACCUGCGCGUGUUCGACCUUUGCCAGCACCGUCUUGGUGGCGACGGCAGUGAGACGAAGCCGCAGGCCGCAGAGAGGGGCUCUGUGCGGGCACGGCUCAGCGGGGCGUCUGGGGGACGGGCGAGGCUUCUCGGCACCACAAACGUGUCGAGUUGGCUGCUGCGAAGACUGCUGUGUCGGCCAUCUGGCGAGGGGUGUGCCUGGCUACCGUUACUGUGGAGCCCCGGGGCGGCUGCCGGGCCAAUGACAGCCUGUGCCACGGCCAAUGGCAAAGGCAGCUUUCAGCAGCACUUCUUCCCUUCUGUAUGCAACGGCUUUGUGCUGGUCGAGUGGCGUCGCGUGCCUCAAGCCACCGCCGUGGCGCGGUUACCGUGCUCUAGAGAAGCGAGCUCAUGGUGCGCCUCAGUCACACGCCGCUUGCUCGACAGCAAAGGUCGCCGCACGACGGCGUCGGCAGCGCGCACAAGAUCAUUCCUCGGGACAUUGAAGAAGUUGCACGAUUUUCCGCAGCGCUGGUAUCAUCCAAUGCCCUUACCUGGGACCGAGCCGAGCAGCGUGACAGCAGCGCCCACGGCUUACUCGCGGGAACUGGGGUGGAUAACCCCUGAGGUUGUGCCGUGGCUGCGGAUUCACGAGGUACGACUACAGUGGCCCUGGCUGCAACAUCUCCUCUGCAUGCAUGGUGGACAGGCGCAGCUCUCGCUGCGUUACCCUGCCGCACAAGGUGAGACACGCCUACUUCCGCUGUGCUUGUUGGUUCCGUUGUGCGAGUUGGCAGAUCCUUCGACAAGCACUGUUUGCGGAGGCCGGCCAUCAAGCGUGCACCCACGCGAGACGCGCGAUGCGGCUGCUGUCUACGGCAUGGUGCUCUCUGCUGCACCAUCGGAUGACACUCCUCCGUCACCAAACGCGGCGGCUCCAGCAGAGGCGACCCUGUGUCUUCCGGCGAGCCCGUUCAUCGAGGUGCAGGUAUGGUGGUACCCCCGCAACGGUAUCGGCAGCGCAGCGGGCGGCGGCUUCGAUGUGCCGCCUCGUUUCAUCGGCCGGGGCGAGUGGCGCUUCCCCGCGCACGAGGAGGCUGCAGAGAUGCGAGGGUUGGUUGCAGGGACAGACCAGGGAGCGUUUGAGGAGGCGCUGAAUUCUCAGCUGACCACGGCAGAUGCGGCAGGGUUUGCAUGCCUGAGCGAUGGCGAAGAGGAGAGCGGGGCUGCGAUGGGGCCGGCGCCGUUGCCGACGGCUCUCCGCAGCUUCUUCACUCCACAUGAGGCGGACUUACGCGUGGCGCCGGUGCACAGCACUGGUGUACCACAGCAUGUGGAGGGAGGCCUGCUGACGUGGCGUCUCAUGUCCGUUCCUCGGCUGUUGUGCGAUGGCUGGGGUGAGUUGCCCCCCGCGAUGCCACGCCCGCUGCCCGAGUCGUCGUCCUGCGUUGCAGGGCCGUGCGGAGACGUCUGUCGUCCGUUGCGACCGUCCCCUGCUGCGGUACGGGCCUCUACUUGGGCGUGGCCAGAUAUUGGCACGCCAGCAGUAGUGCAUGUCGAGGUGUGCGACAUGAUUUGCUUUGACCACACGGAUGGGCCGUGCAUCGACACCGCGCGAGCCACCGCAGCUGUGCAGAUUGCAGUGAGCGGCACCACGUGCGCCGGCUCGCCGACAGAGACCCCGCCCGACGAGUCAGCGGCAAUCACUGAGGCGAGGUGCUGGAUGUAUCCUGGAGACGCCCCACCACCCGAAGCCCCUCGUGUGGCGUACGCCUUGUCUCCGCUCUACAAUACGGCCGCGAAGGCGACGGACACCGGGAGCAACAUGGGCGGCAACCAGCAGCAGUAUCAGCUGCCACCCUCGCAGGCUUCUUGGGCGUUGAAGACGCCGCCGCGGCCGCCGCAAGCGACCGCGGCGGCAGGCGAUGGCGAGAAGAGUGCAGCGCGCAGUGUCAUGCCGGGUGCUGGAGCAUCUCGCUCUCCGGCAGUGGAGGUGCAGUGGCCACCACGUCGAUUUGGCUGGGUCGACGACGCACCGCCGUCCCUCUCUGUGUGGGUGAUGGCACCUCCGUCGUUGUCGGGGGGCGCCGGGGCAGCGGACAACACGGCGGUGGCGGCGAAGGAGCGCGUGUGGGGAGCCGUUCGAUUGCCGGGGCUGGACGCCUUUAAGAGUACCUCGGGCGUGCUGUGGCUGCCACUCUUCCAAAGUUACGCCGCGCCUGCUCUGGCCGCUGAGGUGCCGCGCUGUACUGCCGCUGCAGAAGACGUGGCUCUGAGCAGCAACAGCGGCAGCAGCAGUGGCAGCGGCACCGGUACCGGUACCAGCGAAAAUUGCGGCGCAGUGUCGCCGCCACCAUCUCCCUCAACAGCGGAGCGGGCACACGGCGGCAUUGCCGCGACAGCUCCGCCGCAAUCAACUCUGGCAUGUGGCGAUGCGCCGGACUCGUUGAUGAUGAUGGCCGCGCCGCGCGCCGCGAUUGUGGUGAAGCACGUCGGCUUCGUUGCGGUUCGGUACGAACACAACAUGCAGAGGCGCGCGGCUGACGCCGUCACGACCAGCGGCACGGAACCCAGCGCUGCCGGGCCGCGUGUCCUGCUGGUGCGUGUCGGGCCAUUACAUCGACGUUUUCCUGUGAGUGUUGCUGCUCGCCAUCCCCUCUCUUCCCCCUCAUCUCCUCCGCCUUCCGAGUCCUGCACGUCGGCGUCGGAGGCGCCGCUCACACCGCCGUCUGACGCCGCGCUCACACAUCGCAAUGCAGCAUGGACAGCUCUUGCAGCUGCCGACAACGCUGCGGGCACUGCUGCGGCGACAGGAGUUCUCUUGGGCAACGUCAGCAGUGAUGCAGAUGUGCUUCUGGGCUUCGAGGCGCAUCAGCUGUCGGUGCACGCGCCUGACGGUGACACUGGCCGGGAUGUUUCACGUGAGGCAAGUAGCUCGAGCCGCGUCGCCGUGUUUCCUCUUCCACGGCGCGACGCGGGCGAUGACGGCUCACUUCAGCUGCGUGUGCAGACGCGGGUGGGUGCUUCAGCGGCAAUGGCCACCAACACCAUGUACUUCGAUCCCGGCGGCGAUGAGGCGACGCCAGAGAGUGCCCAGUGGGUGCCGCUCAUGGUGCGCCGCCGUCUUCACGAUGCUCACGGUGUUGGCUACGACGGCGAAGGCGAGAGUGUGGUGGCUGAGCUUCUCGUCCAAUGGCGGGUCGUGGACUUGUCUGCCGCCACCGCCCCGCCGCGCGCGACCUUCUCACCGACGUCGCUGCAGCGUCUUGUGAGAGAGUGCUGCGGCGGCGGCGGUGCUUCCUGCUCUUACACGCUUCUCCCAGCACUGUCUGCAGCAGCGCAGGCGCACCAGAAUCCAUUAGGGCAAAGUUGCGCCGACGCUCAGCGGCGUGCAGGCUUCUUGGAGUUGCCCGGCAGGGAAAGAAGAGGACAGGGCACGAUCACCACCGAGCAGGCGUCACGAGUUCUCUCACGUGUGCUGCGCACAAUCCAGCCCCGGCGCCGCCGGUGUGUCUAUUUGACACUGGACCAGCUGCUCGUGCAGUGCAGCGCGCGUCAGCGGCGGAUGUGGGCGGCUCUGCAACGAGGAACGACCGCAUCGCCACAGGAGAUGCUGGUGGACGGCGGACACGAUGACGCCGCCUCGGCACCGAUUCGAUUUCGGUUGGAGGUGCAGCUAAGGUGGCCUGUUGAGUGGAGCGCGGCGUGGCGCGGCAUCGCAUCCUCGUCGCCGCGGCGCGUGCCACUGGAAGCCGAGAUUGGCGCGGCUGCGAGCUUGCCUCCUGCAGCUGCCGCUUCCGCAACAUCAACGGCGGGCACGGUCUCCCUCAACGUGUGGGUCGACAGCGGAGAGGGCGUCUUCGUGGAGAGCAGUUCUCCCGCUGCUUCCGGUGCUGCUGUUGCCGACGAGGCGGCGGUAUAUGCGUCAGGGGAGCGCCUCCUAUCUUGUGCGUCUCUGCCCCCGCUGUGCUUGGUCUUGCCGUCUGCGGAGGACCCCGACCACCUACUCGGGGACCUGGGGCUUGCGGCGCGCUUCUGCCUGACGUUCGCCCUCUUUGUUGUUCCGCAGUCGCGGGGUGACAGGGACUCCCGCGAGAAGGCGUCUGACCUGUGUGUCGGCACUGGCCGAACGCCCAUGGCGUCUUCUCCAUCGGUGCAGUUUGGCCUCACAUCGCUUCUACCAUCUGCUAGCGGCAGGAGUGGCGGUGGUCCGCCGUAUGCGGACGCCACAGGCGCGGAUGCGAAGGACGGUGUAGCAACGGUGCCACCGCUACUCCGCUGGCGCGCACGCGUGACGGAGUCUCUGCCAGUGCCCCCGCCAGCGUCGUCAAUAUUGUGCAACUCGCCGAAGGUGCGGGACCUCGCAGUCGACAGCGGCAAGGCGAUGGGAGACGACGGAGCACGAUGCGACAAGCACAUGCCGUCAUGGUUGCUCUCCUCUUCACCGGCCAGCUCUUCGGCGGAGAAGGACGAGGUCAUUGAGGGUGACGGACACACCCGAGCCGCAGGGGCCACCGCUGCACCCCUGCUGCCGCGCACACCAGCGCUGGCGCACGUCACUGUCACGCGUAUCGAGCUGUGUGGGGUCGACCUCAGCCUUGCUCGUGGGGCGGCGCAGCGCCAUCUUCGCGUGCUUCCUCCCGCGACGGUGACGGUGAUGACGACAGACGUCACAGGCGCUGCAGCCGCGCCCACAGAUCGGAGAGGUGGCGCGGCCAACGCAGCGUCGACCGCGCACCAGCUACUGCCGUGCCUGCUGUCCCUCAGACCCACUGCCGCGUCUCCACCGAUUCACGCCACCUCAACGCCGUCGUUGCCCAUGACACGGCUGGACCAAAUACAACCAGUCCCGCCGCCGCCGCAGCGGUACUUGUGGAGCACUGAUGUGUGCAUUGCCGCACCUGUAUCGCAGCUCGUCUUCUGCGUCAGCGUGCCCGUCGCCUCACUGCGUUCGGCGCGCGUGGAAGAGGCGUGGUUGCCGCCGAGGAGCCCCUCGAGUGAAGCUGAGCAUCAGGACGCAGACGCGCAAGGCGUGGACGCGCGCUGGCGAUCGCGGCACGGCGACCAGGUGAACGUGGUGGGCAAGGCAGUGUACGCAUUGGACCUGUUGGCUCAAGUGGAAGGCGCACGACGACCUUGUAAUGACAGUUGCCUCGUCUCGGCAGCACAGACGGCUGAUUGCGUGCGUGAUGUCGUGCUGGAGGUGGAGAGCCUCGUGCACGGCCACUGGCUCGGCCGCCUCUGGGUCCAGGUGGACAUCACCGCUGCCGACCUCCUGAUGCGCGAUGCAGCCUCGGUCUUCUUCACCUCGCGCAUGACCCUCAGUGUUCAGCGCUGCAGCGGUUUCGCCGUUGGUGAUGUGCCACUAGCAUACCGCGCGGAAGAGACGUACGUGCGGCUGCGUGAGCGGGCAGCGCUGCUGUGCGAGAGGCGUGGCAGGCUGCCACGGCGACUGCGCCAGCAAUUAAAGGAAAUACGCCAGAUUCGACGUCAGUUGCGGCAGGGGCAAAGACAGCAGCGUGACGGUGUGCUCGCCAACCAUACAGCUCUUUCCAGAGCAGGGGUGGUGCGGCUGACGUCUGCGUGGGGCGAGCGAGGCACUGGCGCUUCGUCGACAUACACAUCCAAGCCCUUUGCGCUUCCGACAGCGACGGAGCUCGUCCGCCACAGAUGCAGGGCAACAACGUCGUCAUCAUCGACGUGUGCGCCGCUGCUGUGCUUGUCGCGUGAUACGAACACCGCACAAACCACAAACGACGCGGCGGCGACCGUGCAGCUGGAGCUCUGCCAGGCGUCAAGCGGCGUUACCGUAGCUGCUGGACAGAUGGUGAUACCCCUGCACUCCGCACGCACGCUGUGGCGCGAUGGCGCAUGGCAGCCGCCCGUGCCGACGGUCACUUCGCCGCUGUCGGUGCGUGUUGAUCUUCAGGCCUGCACAGUAAGCGAGGUGCACACUCCGUGCAUCUGCCCGAUGACCCCUCCCGGAGGUGAGGCAGACGUAACGGCGACGUGGGCGGUGCACCCCGCGCGCGGCGACACAUGGCUUACCUGCAUCUGUUUGAAACCGACGGCAGGCGGCGACGGUGCUGCGACGCCGCCUCGGCAGCUGUUGCUGCGAUGGGUCUACUGCUUCGAGGCCACAGCGUACCCGGAGACGGAGCACGCGGUCGACAUGCCGCUGCACUUGAGGUCGUCCUCGACCGCCACUGGCCAUGGCGGGAAAAGUGCGCAGACGCCGCAGGCUCGUUUCCGCCCGAGGGACGGCGCGCCAGUGUACUGGUCAGGAGCAGCCAUGCAGCUGCCGCGAAUCGGCCCGGUGGGGGCGACAAUCAAGCGGGUCGAGCUUCUGGAGGUGACCCCGGUGUCCUGCGCUCACCUCCUUGUUGGCGGAGAGGCUUGGGGGGUGGCACAGCCGUCGCCGCUCCGGUGCAACCUGCCGACACGGGAUGCCUGCAUGACGACGCGGCUCGCCUUGCAUGCGUGGACAUUAGCGGAUCAGCUGUGCUUUGAGGCGAGGCGUCGCCAGGCGCAGGACUCGGGCGAAGACGCACUCAUGUGGCUAACCUGCGGGGGUGCCUCUGCCGUCGGCAGUCGUCGCUGCAGACCCGGCUACGAGGUGCUUAUGGGCCUCUAUACGAGUAGCUCCCUGGCGAAGUGUGCUGCACAGCUUCUGGAGCAGCGGGGGCUGCGAGCGACCGGCGCGGAGAUGCCCAUUGCACCAAUCGCACUCGCGACGCAGCCGCCGCGGUGGCCUCCGCAUGCUGGCGUCAACGCACCGGUGGCGUGCAAUGCCGCAGGUUCUAUCAAGGCUGACGAGUCGUCAUCGCCGCCAGUGCUUCAUGUGCGGUCUCAUGCCUCGACGAGCCCAGCCAAAGACGUUGUCGUCCCUGGUGCGGUCGGAAGUGGUGGCGGCGUUGCGAUGAGGGCCCUGACGUUCCGGUGCAGCGGCGCCGCAUUCGCUAAACUAGAGUUGGGGCAAGUAGACACGAUCUCAUGCUGCGUUGUCGCCGAACGACGUCGACGCGACCGCGGCGCUGCUCUCCGUGCUCACCAACCACCAUUGGCCGAGAACGGCAGCGGGGCCGCCGGCCGCCCUGAGGCGUUCAUUGUAGUUCUGGAUGCCGGCAAGGCGACAUCACUGCUACAGAAGCGGUGCUCUGCCGAGGACCUGCCACAGGCCGCCACAGGCUCUUCUCCUUCUCUCGCCUCUUCGCAGCUCACCGCCACGUGGUUGCCAGCACUGGAGUUGUCACAUUCGACAAUGGCAGUGCCGUGUGCGGCUGCAGCGCGAAGGGCAGAUGCCCACCACGGCACGCAGAAGGCGCGCUUGCAGGAGGUACGAGGCGCAUUGCUGCGCGUGGUGCUGCCGCUGGUGCAACCUGAUCCAGUGGUCGCGGCAGCCGGCGACGGCAAGGCUGAUGACAAUGCCGGCAGUGACAGCGGCGACGAGGUGGCGACAAUGGAGGAGGAGCAGUUUCGCAUUGAGGUGGCUGUGCGAGGUCGCCGUUGCGGCGCCGGCGCCGACGAGGCGGCGACCACGGCGUACUACGUCUCCGACCCCUUGUGCGCAUCCGACAUCUUUCGUAGCGCCUGCAGUUGUGGCGAGCGGAGCGGCAUCGGCAGCAGCGCAGACACGACGGCGGCCGCGGCUGGCGGUGACUCUCCGCUUCGCAUGUCCCCCUCGCAGUGGCUGUCAACGUUGGCGAUGCGCCUUGUGCCGGCGCCGGCGUCUGCUGGGAUGACGGGCUCAGCCGCCUGUGAGAGCAACGAGAAGGAGCGGGAGGCUGGGCCGCUGUCGCCUCGGAUGGCUCCGACAGCAACGAUGGAGGUGACGUGGGCGUUGGACGUGCUCGGCGUGCUGCGAACCAGUGCCUGUGCUGCCGGUGUGGUACUGGCCUCCGCGAAGUGCGCUCGCCGCCGCGCCGACCGCCACGCUGGAGACUGGGCCCAUCGCACAGAGGCCGUCUUCGGCUCGCUUGCAUGCAUGGCCGAUGACACAGACGAGGACGACGACGCGGGCGGUGGUGGGGUGGGGAUGCGGCAGCUGGAGGCGUACGCGGCAUGGAACGAUUUUUUAGCGGCCCAGGACGGCGUGGAGAAGAUGCGGGCGGCGCAGGCGGAGCUGCGGCACUGGCGUUGCACCAUUGUUGGAGUUGAGGUAUCAGGGGUCGAGUUGCUGUCCUGGUGCUCUACCGGAGUCGAAACCGACGCUGACACGGCCGACGAGGUGUACGAUAUUGCCCAGUGCACGUCCCUCCUCGCCCAGCUUGUGCUACCGAUUGGAGCGCCAAGCAGCGCGGCUGGCGCGGAUGCGGAGGGGCAACCGACGCAGGACAGCGAUGGCACGGGGAAUCAUCAUCGACGUCGUCUGCGCAGCAAGGGUGGGCUCGUGAUGGGUGUGGCCCGCACCACUGUGACUCGCAUGGAUCGCGGUGCGCGUCUGGACACGGAGGCCGCACCGACCUCUUGCGACCGUGCUACAAUGAAGGGCAGCGCAUGCAGCGCACGAUCUGUCGCCCCCGUCAUCAGCAGCUCUCGGCCACGGCGUCAUCGGUACACCGGCACCUUCACCCCACUAUCGUGGAGCAUGGCCGUGCCUGACAUGAUUGGCCAGGCCGCCGCCGCCGCCGCCGCGCACAGAGAGGAGAAAGGAACAGCGGCGACGGUCGGCGGAGACCCCGCUGCGGGGCUCACUGUGUGGCAGCUCCUUUCUCGCGCGCCUCCUUCCUCGUCCUCGGCUAGGAAUAGCAUCGACAACAGCCACAGCACCGCGCAGAACACGACCCAGCUGGUCUACAACCUUGGUGCCACGCAGCUCGCCGGCCUCCUCCACGAAUGCGCCUUGUACCUCGUCCAGGUACUGGCGCGCUGGCUUGGCGAUGUGUACACAACGGAGGAACGGGAGGCGCUGCUGGAGGCGGCUGCUCUGUACCCCACGCAGUGGAUGCAGCUGGCGCCUGUCACGCCGAUCAUGGAUGGCACCCAAGGUAACGCUCGCGUGCGCUUCAAGUGCGCCUACAGCUACCACGGACCUGUGCUGCUGUUGCCGAAGAGCCUUUCGACGGUGGUGCCGUCGCGCAUCACAGCGCCACGUGCUCUCGCCGACGCCGUCUGCUGCGCACAGCUCGAUCGCGUGCAGCUCGCGUACACGAGCUUGGACGGAGCAGAGGCGACGGCGGCCACUGCGGGGCCACACCGUCGAAAUGGCACAAGUGCCGCAGCGGCGUGGCCGAGCCGCUUGUCGCUGGUGAUGCGAGUUCGCGUCACCACGGAGAGAGUCGUGGACGGUGCUGUGGUCCAGUCUCGCAACGUAGCGCAGUGGCACACGCAACUGGCACCGGUGCCGUGCGGCGGCGCGCCACUAAUCACCGAAGCGGCAUGGGAGAGCGGCACGGUCGCUCCUUUUGCACCGGCGGCCUCCUCCCCCUCCGCCGCAACUUCGCAGCCCACGCCAGCACCGACAGCACCAGUGGCGACCCCUGUGCCGGUGACCGUUUCGCCAUCCGCGGGCGGAGCGGCGGAGCCGCCUCAGAAUAGAAGCGGCGAUGUCCACCAGCGCAUCGUCACCACCGCCUCAGCCGCCCCGUCGUCGGUGAAGGAGGUCGUUCCUCUGCUGCCGACGACAUCCUUUUUCUGUUGGCAGCCACCAAGCCUGGAGGAGGCGAUGGAGGGCUGCAGUGCGGCACACACGUCCGCCGCCGUGCCUGCGGCCCAUGCCACGGAGACGACGAUGACCACCACCUUGGUGGAGAUAGUUUUGGUGCUGGCAGACGAGAAGACGGAGGAGGGCGACAGCGCUGCGGCAGACUCCCAGGGCCGGCUGCCCGGGGGCGGCGGCGGUGUCGUCGCGGGCACCGUGGUUGGGCGUGGACAGCUUCGCCUUGGCUGCUCGAGCUCGAAGGAAGUGGUGUGGGACGUUGCAGAGGGCAGAGUGGAGAGUGGGUGGCGGCUUUACGCGCCUCUCUCGGUGCGGCUGCCUGUGACCGCUGAGGCUGCGCUGCCUCGCGGUGGAUGUGACGCGCCCACCUCUGCUAUCGCCCCAGGAGAAGGGGCGAGGGGUGAGCCGCAGCCCUCUUUGACGUUUUCGUUCGAUCUGUUGAUCUUUACGGCACCAAGCAUGGCUCAGGUGGCCGCAUUGCAGGCUUCCCGGGCCGUGCAAGCCGAUCAGCGUCGUCGCAGCUUGUCUGUUCUCCAGCGCACGGAGGAGGCCCUUGCCGCAUCAGCGGCAGCCGAUUAUCAUCUUCACGAACAGGGGAGUGAGCUCAACAAGCGCGUUUGCACCAUCGCUGCCGGAGAGCCACGCGUGACGCUGCGCCAGCUUUCGCAGAUGUGGGUGUCGCGGAGGCCGUAUCAGCUCCUGCGCGUUCCGCCCAUAGUGAUCCGCGUGGACACGUUUGCCGUGCUGGAUAGCGUUCCUUCGUCAACAGCAAGGCGCGUUGCCGCGUUGUCCGCCGGCGGCAACAACAAGGGCGGUCCCACGCGGCUUUCUCAGACGCUGUGGACGACGCUGCGAAGGCGAAUGGCGCGGCGGGUCAGUACUCAUGACGGCACGGAUGCCGUGCCGUGCCCCGGUCAACGUUGCAGCGGGGGCGGGCUCAGCGGCGGCACAAGCGACGCUUCCAUGUCUGUCGAAGUGCAGGCGUGGCUUGUCGACGAACAGACCGGCGAAGUUCGAGUUCCCGUGUGGACACUUCUCUCCAACGGACCACCGCUGCAGCGCAGUGGUGGCGCUGCCACAUGUAACCCCUCGCACGCACCCUCGUUGGCGUCGCACCUUCACGCCGGCCGCGCCAUCUUGCGCAAUGCUCAGCGCCUCCGACUAGACUGGUGCUCUGAGGACGAGGGAGCUCGCCUGCAGAGCAUGAGCCUGCCCGCGUCGCUGGCGGGUCUUUUAGGCAGCGCCUCUGUGUCCUACAUCGCCACAGACGGAUCGGCGUGCACGUGGGUUAGCGGUGGCCUGCGCCGUCGCUGCGCGCAACACACUCGCCACGGAGCCUGCCACGCCUUGAAGGUGCAGGGCAGUGCAGGUGGAGCCAACUCUGGCCGCGGAGCUGUUGAGCCAGUCCCACCGCUCUUGCGAUCUGCCGCCCAUCACACGAAUCCGGGCCGCCGGCGCCGCCAGCCCCUUGUGCCGACGCCUGCCAAGAGGGUGGCCGCACAACCCUCACCACCUCCACCCACACCCGGACUUGACUCGUGCACAGCCUCUUGCCAGUUCGACUACGACCUCUACAGGUCUCACUUCCUGAGUUGCGCAGCGGCUGCGCAGGAUGGGCAGGCGACGACGCCGGGGUGGCGCUGCGAGGCGCACGCUUGCGUCACCGGGUCGCUCCCUGCUGCCUCUUCCAGUACGAACGCUGCCUCACGGCUGUUUCACAGCGCGACGCUGGUGGGGGGCCGGAUUUGGCUGCUUGGCGGCUGGAUAUCUCCAGCGGGGGCGACAACACUGCCCUCAACGCUCGCAGCGCUAGUGGGCACAGCGCGGCUUGUGGAGCGCCGACGGCGCGAAGUGCUUCAAGCCGUCACCCACGGCCGCGACAACGAUGCCACGGGCGACCGCCUAUCUCCCGCACCUCUGGCGGAGUGCGCAUUACGUUGCGCGAGCACCUCUGUAUCCAGCGCGCCGUGCAAAGCAGGCAACGUACCGACCUCGGCCUCCCUGCGCUGGUGUGAGGUGGUGCAGUCCGUUCAGUGCCUGAACGACGGCUUUCCAGCUCCGCCGGUGGAUGCACCCUGGCCAUCCUCGCAGGCGGAAGACUCCGCGGACGCGGCAGAGGCGACAAGGCGCUUGCUUGCCGCGCCGCCCCGACUGGCUUGCCACGUGGCGGUGACCUGCGGAGAUCGAUAUGUGGCUGUGUUUGGAGGGUUGAUGGCACCUACCGGGACAGACGAUGACGCGCCUGUUGCGACGUCGGCUGUGCACAUCUACGACACUGUGCAGGGGACAUGGUCUGCGCAGUACGAGCCCAACACCGGUGACGUGCAAGGCGAGUGGCCCGUGGCGCGCUACGGCCAUUGUGUGACCCCAGUUCCCGGCACCGGCGGCGCGCGGCAGCCCCGCAGCUACUUCGUCUUUGGAGGGGCUACCAUAACACCAUCUUGUCCCACAGUCCUGGUGCCGCCAGCGCAACUUCUGUGGAUUUGGACACCCGUGCCGGGUGUCCUCCAACACGGCCGCAGCGGCGCCGUCGAGGAUGUGCCGGUGCACAGCGCGUGGAGGCGAGUGCAGCUGCCCGUCGAGCUCGCGACCCCGCUUGCCGGCCGCUUCUUGUCGCAGCUGCACGCCUACUCCGCAGUGGAGGUGGCUGCCGCCGUAUGCGGCGCUGAAGAGACCCUCGAUGAUGGGGCGGCGGUGCCCUCUGACCCUGGGCUGACAACCAUGGUACUUUGCGUCGCAGGGGGCAUGACUGCGCCGGCGUUGCACACGGUACCAGCGGUGGCGCACGAUCAGUCGCCUUUCGCCACGAAGGCUUCCGCACCCGACGCGUACCGCGCCUUCUGCGAGUGCGUCGAACCGUGGUUUGCGCACCCGGCGUCUGAUGUGGCGUCGGUGCUGGUGGCGUGCGUCUGUGAGCGCCAGCAGCAGCUGCCGUCUCUGCCCGCAUACUCUGCACCUUCUUCACAGACACGUACGCGCACACAUUGACGCCGUGCGAGGCAGUGAGAUGAGAAGUUUUGUUGCUGGGACGUGGGCUGUGCCCCCCCCCCCUCCUGCCUGUCUCUCCCCCACCCCUUCGGUAUGCCCCCUCUUCGCACGUGCGUGUCGAUAUAUAUGCAUGUGUGUAUUUUUGCGUUACCUCCCGCUGUGUUUCCAAAAUGUGUGUGCUAUUCCUUCCUUCCCCGUUCAUUCACCGUCCCCCCGCCCCGCCCCGAGGGGGCAACGGCAGGGUACGCUCAGCGCCAACCCCAUAG
rnacentral:misc_RNA from 1 species